rnacentral:misc_RNA from 1 species
AACAAAAUGCCCCCAACAAAUAAAGGGCAUGACCGUGUUUUCCAUUUCAUUAAGGACUUGUGGGGCUAAAUUAAGUCCAACACUUCACAAUUAGAAAGCAAUUAAUUCAUUCCCAAAUCCAAAUUUCUAAAACUGCUGUUGGCACUUCAGUUGUUUGUAAUUCUUUCGGUGUUGGUGUCACAAAUAUUUGUUGUGAACUUGUCAAUAUAAACUCAGAAGGGAAAGAAGAUACAACAGGUUGAGAAGGUAUUCAUAAUCUGCCCUGACCUUCUCGUUCCUUCAAAGGCCGAAAUGACGUGAACCACUGCUUCCAAGGGGCAUCUUUUUGUUGCUCGAUCCAUGACAAGAAAGCACUGUCUAACAAGCAGAACAUAUUGACAUAGAGGAGUUGGUACCUCACUGGCACA